GACGAACGCUGGCGGCGCGCUUAACACAUGCAAGUCGAGCGAAGCGGCGGACGGGUGAGUAACACGUGAGUAACCUGCCUUAGACAUUGGGCUAGCCUCGGGAAACCGGGAUUAAUACCAAAUGGUCUAAGAUGGACUCGCGUCCCAUUAGCUAGUUGGUGGGUAACGGCCCACCAAGGCGACGAUGGGUAGCCGGGCUGGGAGGGUGGACCGCCACUUUUGAGCGGGGAAGCAGUCCAAACUCUACGGGAGGGAGGAGUGGGGGAUAUUGCAAAGUGGAGGGAGCUAUGAUGGAGCGCCGCCGGUUGAACGAAGGAGUCUGUCGAGUCGUAAAGUUCUUUUAUAUGGGAAGCGGUACCAUAAGAAAAAGCCCCGGCUAACUACGUGCCAGCAGCCGCGGUAAUAC
rnacentral:rRNA from 1 species